CUCCUGAACUCAAGUGAUCUGCCUGCCUUGGCCUCCCAAAGUGCUGGGAUUUCAGGCGUGAGCCACCACGACCAGCUGGCUGUUGUCUUGACUCUCCCCUGGACUAUGUUCUUGUACAUCUAGAAGCAAUUAAAAAUCUCAUUGUUGUCUUUUUGGAAAUCACUUGUUUUUAGGAUGACUAGGUAGCCAAGGCUUUCAUUUGGAAAUACCCUACUUCCAUUUAAUAUAAGGUAAGGAGAGAGGGUUUUUCCCCCUGCUGCUUUCCCUUUUUCUUCCUCUUCUGUCUUGCUCAUUGUCUUAGAGCUUAGUUGAGAAUCAGUGCUACGCCUGAGCCUGGGCCCUGGCUGGCUCAGUGGAGUUCUUUCACCAUGCUGAGUUUCACUUUCCUCAUCUUUACACUAAUGAAAUUACUCAUACCCUCACUGUUCCUUCUCAGAAUGCUAUAGGCAUCAGUAAAACCUGGGAACAAAGUGCUCUGCAAAGUUAUGUUAUGGUCAGAAGGUAUCUGGUUGUGUUCAUGCAGAAGAGCGUGUGUCUUGUGCCUUCGCCCAGCUAGGGUGGUCUUUGCAAUCUCUAAGCUAAUCUUUUUUUAGCGGUAUAUUAUCAUAUAGGCUAGAAAGGAAAUACAGAGAACAAACUGGGCGAUCCAGUCUCCAACUUUAAUCAUCUCUUCUCCAAAGCCAAGAUAAUCCAAGCCUUCUGACCACAUAAGCAUUGCAUCCCUUCCUGCCUUGCCUCUUCCCAUGACCUUGUUUUUCUUUUGAUGUUCAUUUUGAGGGUGGAGAGUAGAAAAAGCAUUCUCUUUUUGCUGCUCUCAGAGUCAGUGGUCUUUCUGGACCUUUAAGUUCUCAGGAAAGGAAAACCACAUAGUCUACCUGAGCUUUCAGGGACUGAAGGAAAAAAAAAAGUAUUGCUUUACUCAAAUUCAGGACCACAAAUAACCACUACCAACCCAUUCAGUUGAGUUUAAUAAUAUUAUUUUAUUGUCUGUAAUUGCUCGGUAUUCAAGUUGGCAGUAUAAAAGGCCUGCAGAGCAAGCUUAAAACAUGGUUCAAGAUCUUAGAUUUCUUACAUCUCAGGUGAAAGACAGACCAUAGACUCCCAAAGCAGGUUACAAUUUAGAUAGCAAUGUAAUGAGUCGUACAGACAAUUUGUUGUCUAUAGGAUCUUGGAAAAAAAACAGAUUCAUGAAAAGUAAGUCAGGAGAGCUUCAUAGAGGGGAAAGAAUUGGGCCGAUGUUCUUUUAAUUACCUGCUGCCAGGAUUCUCAAUUAGCCAUCUGUUUCUUAUCUUACAGAAAUAUCUUUUGAGGAUUUCCAUAUUAUCUGAUUCCAAGUUCCUUUCCUGCCUCUUUGUCCCCAUUAGAGAUGUCACUCAUGAGGACAGUCUGACAGCAGAGACUUCCUUUUGACCAGCAAUGGGAGAAAUAUGUGGAAAUAGCUUGAAGCCUGAGUAUAGAAGGCUUUGAAUGCCAGUCCAAGGAGUUCAAACUACAGGUCAAAGAGAGCCAUUGACAAUUUUAGGCAGGGCAAUGAAAUCUUGAAAACCAUGAUUUCCAGUGGCAUUGGCAGCAGUACUCAGUGUGGUUUAGCAUGGAAGAAACUAUAUAGGAGCCUGCUACAAUAAUUCAGAGGGAUAAUAGAAACUUGGAUAAUGACAAUAGGAACUAAAAGAAUUAGAUUUACCAGAAGGCAGAGGAAAGACAUUAUAGACAGGACUGAGUGGCCUGACAUGAGGUGGGAGGAGGUCAUUCAACUUAGUCAUUCAGCAGUUCACUUAGUCAUUCAGCAGAUAUUUACAGUGUGCCUCCCAUGUUCCAGGCACUGUGCUGGGCACUGGAAUAUAGCAGAUAACAAAAAGUUCUUGCCUUCAUGGAGCUUAUAUUCUAAUAGUUGAAACAGAUAAUACAUAAAAAAGUAAAUAUAUAAUAUAUCAGAUGAUGAUAAAAUGAAACAGGGCAAAGAGGAUGGGGUACAAGGGAUAUUGCUCUUUUAUAUAGGGUGGUCAGAGACGGCUUCACUGAUAAAUUGGCAUUGGAACUGAUUCUUGGAGGAAAUGAGGGGUUUUGCUGUUUAGCUCUUUGAGGAAGGUAUUUCAGGCAGAGAUAAUAGUGCACAUCUAAGGCCAUGAGAUGGGAAUGCGCUUAUCUGGUUUGAGAAACAGUAAGGAGACCUUGUACAGAGUAGGCAAGAGGAAGAGUGGUGGGAGAUGUGGUCUGGGGCAGCGAGCAGGUUUCUUCAGGAAGGGCCUUGGAGGCUACUGGAGGACUGGAGAGGCAUGAUACAGUCUGACUUCUGUUUAAAUGGGAUUAUUCCAGCUUCUGUGUGAAGAGAGUGCUUUAGGAGGAGUAGGGUGGAAGCAGCAAGGGAAGACCAAUUAAGGGAGCUUCUAUAAAUAAUUAGGGCAGGAAAUCAUAGUGGAUUGAAACAGGGUGGAGCUUUGGAGAUGGUGAGAAGUGGUCAAAUUCUGGGAUAUAUUUUGAAGAUGGAGCCAAUAGGAUUUGCUGCUUGAUUGAUAUGGUGUAUGAAAAAAAUAGCAGUCAAAGAUGACCCCAAGCAUUCUGGCCUGAACGAUUCGAAGUUGGAAUUGCCAUUUAUUGAGGGAAGUGUGUGGAAGAGCCACUGAUUCUAGUCAAGCCCUGUAAUUCAUGAAGAAUCUGAGAGCCAAUGAGAAGUAACUUGCCUUAGUUUACCCAGUUAGGUAGUAGUUGAGAUGUGACUGAAACUACCAGGUCUUCUAAAUUCUACUCACUGCUCUGUCCAGUACAUACCAUAUUUCUGACUUCAGCUUUAGACAUGGUAAAGGGAAGGUUUAGUGAGGGCAAGAGCUAGAAGAAGACUUGAAAAUUAACCACACAAAAGACCAGUUGAGGUCAUGAAAGGGUAUUCAGAGUAAAGGGUAGUUGAGGCCUAGAAAGAAGACUUUGAAGAGCUAGCAAAGAAGAGAGAAGAACAAAUUAAAAUGGGCAAAAGGAAAAUGAGAGUAAUAUGGCUCAAAGGACUUAAGAGAGAAGAAGACUCAAUGAUGAGUUCUGUGAAGGGGUCAGGAAGAAUGGGAACUGAACAAAUGUCAUUAGAUUUGGGUUUUAGAAUCUUGGGAAACUGUGGUGCCUACAACUUAACCUCCUUUAAAAUUUUAAGCACUUUUCUUGCCGUUUCAGCUAAUAAGGAGAAGGAAUAUAACAGGGUAAGCCUGAGACAGAGAAUUAAAAACAAAUUUACUUCCAACUCCUGCAUUACCUUCUUGUGAAUCCUACACAAAAAUUUGACUUUCCCAGACUCCCAUGUGCCCAUCUAUAAACUGAACAAGAAGCAUACUUCUUGCCCACUUUGCCUCCUGGAGAUCCUGUGAGGAUAACAAUGACAAAGGAUAGGAAACUGCUUUGGAAGAGAAAUGUUACAUAAAUCAAGAUAUCCUUUUCUAGCUGACUUUAAGUUUUUAAUUUAAGAAAAAUUCUUGAAAGAGUCACAAAAACUUUACUUUAGAGAUACACUAAAUGCAGGACGUGUUGACUGAUAAAAUAGAUAUUCUUCUUGGAAACAAUGGAAAAUACUUCAGUAUCAUUUUGAUUAAAUCUUGCUUAAUAACUGUUCAUUAGACUCAUAUCAAAUCCUGUCUUGGCUUUGUUAUUUAAUUUAAUUUAAUUUUAUAGUCAUUGUUACCCAACCACAAAAGAAUUACCCCUGUGCUUAAGGCCACACAGAUUUUUCAAACAUUGAUAUAUCAGCAUUGGUCCUUCUGAUGAAACACAAGAUGAGGUUUUCCCUGCUGAGUGUCAGGCAGUCUGUCUCAAGCUGCAGGCUGAAGCCCCAGUGGAAUCUAAUUCCAUCCUUCCAAUCCCCUUCAUAUGAAGAGUGGGAAAUAGUGGGAAUGGAAAUUAAUUGUACCUGCUGGCAUUAUUAAAGUUAUCAGUGCGUAUCCCCUCUUGGGCCAGGAAGAUUAAAAAGGCUGUUGUAAUCAGAGCAGAUGAUUUCUGACACACUGGAUGGGCUUCCUACCCAGGUUAGAUGUAAGGAAGUGAUCUGAGCUUGUUGCCUCUGGCCUGAUACCACAUAGCUCAGGGCUAUGCAGUGUCUGCUUCAUCCUCCCAUCAGCCCUGGAGGAAAGCCAGGAUCCUGCUCUCUGAAUCAGAGAUCUCUUAGUUGGAAAAUCAGGCCUUCUCACUUAAGACUAGUGUAUUCUGGCUGCGCAUUCCUCACAAGAUGUAGUCAGGUUAGGUUAGACCUUAGAGUCACACCUUGUUCAGGUUCAACCUGAGUGAAAUAAGGAAUUGAGGUGCUGCUCCCUGGUGAUUCAGCUCGUUUUAGCAAGUGUUUAUUAAAUGCUUUCCCCAAGCACCACACCAGGCCCAGACAAUUCUGCCUGUACACAUCCUGUGGUAUUUGUUGGUUGGAGGAAAGAUGCUCUUGUAGUUUAUGAAUUAAAGAAAAAAAAUUCCUGAUCUGGGAAUGAGAAUCUUAUCCUACGUUUCACACUGACUCACAGCCUAACUUUGACUGUGAAUGCCGCCUAACUUUGUAACCUGUCUAGGACUUAGUUUUCUAAUCUGUAAGAUAAUGGUUUGGACUAAUCUCUCUAAGAUUUAUCUCUGAAAUUCUGUAAUUAAGUGAGGGAAUUUCUAUGAAAGUGCUUGGCAAACCAUUGGGCUAUUAUGAUAGUUCUAAGUGGAAACAGUAUGUUUCCUCAAUACACAGUGAAUUGAGUUCUGACUCUCUGGGGCAGAUAGAUUUCUGACUUUCUGGGCCAUGUGUUGAAAAUAUGAAGAUGGCUGACGUGGCCCCUGAUAUUGAAUACAGUGUCUAGUGGGAGAAAUAGACAUGCACAUAAGCUAUGAUGAUACAGUGUAAUAAUGGGUUCUUGGGUGGAGGGAAAUAUGAGGUGAGGUUUGCCUUAUGAUGUCCUUUGUAUCUUAGGAAGAAUGGGAGUGUAGGAGAGGGGAGCAUAGGGGAUUUCUGGGAGAUAAAACCAUUUAUGCAGAAAGCAAGGAAGUAUAAUAGGUGAAAAGCGUUCCGGAACUACAGGUGGUGUGGGUGAGGAUGGCUGCACACAGGUCCCUUGUAGGGGAGUGGCAAGCGAUGAGGCUGAGGAGGUGGGCAGGGCCUUGCCUGCCACAUCAAAGGGCUUAUACCCUGAAGCCAGUGAAGCAGAAGCCCCUGUAAUGUUAUUGUUUUAACUUCUUAUUUUGAGAUAAUUUCAGACUUAAAGAAAGAUUGCAAAGUAGUCCAGAAAUUCCUCUGUACCCUUAACCCAAAUUCCCCAAAUGUUAAAAUCCCAUCUUUCCAAUAUUUGGGGGCGAGAUUUUUAAAAAAUCUCGUAUAAUCACAGUACAAUGAUCAAAAUCAGGAAAUUAACACAGAGGUAAUACUAUAAUCUCUCAAUCUUACUGAAAUUUCACUUGUUGCCUUGCUAAUGUCCAAUUCAAAUUUCUGGUUCAGGGUUCAGUUUAGGAUCACACAUGAUGUCGAGGUGAACUGUCAUCUUAGUAUCCUCUAAUCUCUGACAGUUCCUCUGUCUUGCUUUGUCUUUCAUGGUUUUAAAGAGUUCUGGUCAGUUAUUUUGUAGAAUGUUCCUCAAUUUUGGUUUGUUUGGUUUCCUCAUGAUUGGAUUCAGUUUAAGCAAUUUUGGCAAGAACACCGUAGAAGCGAUGUCAUAUUUUUCUUAGUGCGUUAUAUCAGGAGGCACUUGCCGUUGAUUUGUCCCCAUUACUGAUGGUGAUAAUUUUAAUUACUCGGUGAGGAUGGGUGUCCCCUUUGCACUGUAAUAAAUGUCUUGUGAAGAUACUAUGUAAAUAUCCUAUUUCUCCUCAUCCUUUGCUUACUAAUUUUUAGCAUGCUUGUUAACUGAAACAAUUCUACUAGCUGAUUUUACCAAGAGAGUGCCAUGGACAGAUUUGCCUUUUAGAAAGAUUACUCUGAAAUGUUUGGAUGUGAGAGAGAUGUGAGAACAGGGAAAAAGUUACUACAGUAGUUCAUUCAAGAGCGGGGCCCUGAUCUAAGGCAGUGAGAGGAGGAGUAGAGAAGACAGAAGAGCCAUUUAGGCUAUGUUUGGAAUCAAUAAGCAGGGUUUACAUUUUGUGCUAUAGAUUUAAAUGCUGGAAAAAUUCUGAAAUGGGGGAAAAUAUCACAUUUUUUAUAGAUUAACAGGCAUCUAUAUAACCUCUGGGUUGCUCUUCUUUUUUUUUUUUUUUUUUUUGAGAUGGAGUUUUGCUCUUGUUGCCCAGGCUGGAGUGCAGUGCGCGAUCUUGACUCACUGUAACCCCCGCCUCCCAGGUUCAAGUGAUUCUCUUGCCUCAGCCUCCUGAGUAGCUGGGAUUAUAGUAUGUGCCAACAUGCCUGGCUGAUUUUUGUAUAUUUAGUAGAGACAGGGUUUCACUAUGUUGGCCAGGCUAGUCUCGAACUCUUGACUUCAGGUGAUCCACCCGCCUCGGCCUCCCAAACUGCUGAGAUUACAGGCAUAAGCCACUGCACCCGGCCCUGGGUUGCUCUUCUAAGAAUAGCUGACUUUAUUAAACAUAUUGUAGGUUUCAUUAAAUGAUGUUUCACAAGGUGUUGCUUCUCCUGGACCAAAUUCCUGUUGUUCAGCUGAGAGCUAUUUCUAAUCUCCAGUGUGGAUGUGCUCAUCAUUUGGUUAUAGGAUGUGAGCAAAUGAGAUGGUGUUCUGCGUAGCCCUGAGGCUGCUUCCAUUAGCCCUUUCCCCAAACUUUUGCCACUUUCAGGCUUAGCAGUAUCCUCUCUUGGGUUCAGAAUGCCUGCUCUUUGCCCUAAUACAAAACCUAGAGCUGUAGGCCAUGUUCUUAUGAUUUGACAGUAUCAGGGAAGCAUUUCUUAUUGACUUUUCCAGAGAAAGAGAGAAAAUAAGCAAGCCGGCAACAAGACAGAGGGGAAAAGGGAAGUGGCUCAGUUCUUACUUUAAGAAACAACAUGGAAGAUAUGUUUGUUGAUUUGAGGGUGGUGAAUUUUUGCACUAUAGCUUUGUGAGGGAGCUGGAAAGAGCCUUUCAGUUUUUCAUGACUGGGAGUUUAAUUUGGUUUAUAACAUUACUUAAAGAUAACUUUGAAAUUGGUCUAAGAACUUAGGGUUGUUCCUGACCCCAGGUCAAUGGCCUACUUGACCUAGGCGAGAGAAGAAAGAGUUAAGGAUAGGGAGUUGAGCUUUUUGCUCCAAAAUCUAUAGAGGGUACACCCCUCUUAUAUUCUGGAGUCUUACUGGGUUUCUGAAAAUGCCCUUGUGGGUCAUGAAACAAUAGCCCUUUGAAUAUUUUUCUGCCGCUGCUGAUGUGAGCUGAUUAAACUGGCAGGCAGAUGAUGGAAGGAAUAGUUACAUGUCCCAGGCGGGAGGUCAUGACAGUUGGAUCUGUGGUUGACAGAAGAAUUUCAACACACAUUCAAAUCAGCUCCUAAGAUAGAUUGUCUGAGUUCCCUGGGCCUGCCUCAUGCCCUCCUCAAAUGCAUUUGACUCCUUCUGGCCCAUAAUACUCACACUUCAAAUGUUUGGCUUGGUGUCCACAAAUCAACUCAGGGCCGGGGUAGGGGUACUGAUGAGCAGUGAUGCCCUCUUUGGGAGCUACCACAGCAUAGGAAAUGAACAUUAGACCAGGAAUCAGGUAACCUGGUUGGGGACCCAGGGCUCUAGAUGGUUUAUUUUUUUAUUUUCCUUAUUGGUUAAAUUCCCUACCGCAGUUUUGACAUUCUCUUCUGGAUACUGACUGUGGUCUAGAGAAACAGCUAAGGAAGGCAAAUCUGAAUUAAAAUCUGGUUCUUGGGAAAGAACUGAAGUUUUCAGAUUUUGCAAAAUUAUGGAGAGUGCAGACUAGGAGAAAAAGGACAGGCAUAGUUGUGACAAGGAGCUAUUUUUUCUAGUUCUGCAUUCUAGAAACAGUACUGAUGAGUCCAAAAAUAUAGAGAUAAAAUUUUGUCUUUUUUCUUGCUUUAAAAAAAAAUGCUUCUAAAUGUCUACAUACUUGCCUAAGAAAAUAUUUCUCAACUCCUCCAGAAUAUUUAGGGUUAACUAAAAAUUAUAAAAACAUACCACAGAGCUAGUCCACUCUUUAUGCCUAGGGUUUACCCAAAAGGUCUGCAUGCUCUGGCUUGGAGACCCUGACCCCAUCUCAACUUGCUGGUUUUAAGUCUACAUAUUUGGCUGCAAAGCCCUAAUGCCAGGAGGAAUGCAGAACUGACGAGUCCACCCCAUCUACAAGCUAGAAGGACAUCUUGAUUAAAUUAGUGUCAAGGGCUGUGGAGAGAAAGGCACAGUGACACAAAGGGUGUUUUGAGGAGCCCUGUAGCGCCUGUGGAGAAUGAAUGUUCUCGUUAAAUAUGGCCGUGACCUGCAGCUCCACACAUGCCAGAGACACAGCUCAAUUGUCCCCAGGAUUUGGGGGGUGGGGACGAUCAUGGGGAGAGGACAGCCUGGCAUGGAAAGGCAGGAAUGCAGGAAGGCCUGUUGUUGUUUUCUUUUUGCGAUAACUACAGCAAGCAAUUCUUUGAUCAUGGUCCUUGUGUUUGGAAGGGAUCAAGAAGCGAUUUCCUUUCCCCUGGGUGUUUGAACCUUUGCUCUGCUCCUUGCUUCUCUGGGUAUUAAGGGGACUCCUGAAAGCCCCCAUUGUCUUCAGCCUCUUUCCACCCCCUUCCUUGGGGCUCCCCAAGAAGACUGUUGCCUGAACUCUGUAGGGCAAGAAUGAGAAGCAGUGCCCCCAAGACAGUGCCUACCCUUGUCAUUUACCCACCAUCCUCAUCUCAUUUAUCCUUAAGUCCCAAGACCAAAGCAAAGAACACAUGGGCUGUUGAAGGCUUCCACAGGACUGCCCUGGUCAGUGGGAAAGCAGUAAUGCUUUCUAGCUGGGUAACCCCUUGGCUGAGUUCCAUCUGCACUGUGGCCAGGGUGCGUGGUGAGACAUGCUUUUGCCAUUUGCCCUUUGAACUGCCAACAAUCCCAAUGUAGCAAAUGGAUUUAAAGCUGAUUGAGUUUUAGAUUUCUUUCCUUUAACCAGAAUAUUCUAGCAGCUUAUUUUUAUAGUUCUGCUUGUAUGAUUCUCUUUUUAACAGAUGGAAUCACAACCUUUUCUGCAGUAUAUAUCUGAUGAAUUUAAAAACUGAUACAUCAAGAAUAUUCUUUUGUAUAUGUCUUUCUUGCUGUGAAAAUUUAUGGCCUUUCUUCCCCCUGUCUUUGCUCUGUAAUUAUUAGGUGCUUACUAUAUGCAAGGCAUUGUAUAAGAUUAGGAGAAUACAGAUAAGACAAAAUAGCAUUGAAGGAGUUUAUGAGUUCAAUUCCAACUUCACCAAUUAAUAGUUGUUCUCAUGGACAAAUUUUUUGACCUCUCUAAGCUUUAGCGUCUGUAAGUACUAAGUGCUUUUUGUGCAGAGAGAUGUAGAGAGGUGAAAUUUGAGCUGGGUUUUUAGUGAAUGAAAAUGAUUUCAGUAAUUAAAGAUGAAAAAGUACGGAGUUUGUGAGCAUGGAGGGGGAGCUGGAGUCAAAGGAUAUUCCAUAUGGAAGAACAGGCUUCAGGAUGAAGGAGAGCACCGGAAUGUGUGAGGACUCUUCAGAGGGUGAAUGCUUUGGUUACCACGUCCUGGGAAAUGAACAACUUAAAACGUAAGU
rnacentral:lncRNA from 1 species